rnacentral:tRNA from 1 species
GUUGCUAUGUCCGAGUGGUUAAGGAGACAGACUUGAAAUCUUUUGAGCUUCACGUGCGCAGGUUUGAACCCUGCUGCCGACA